CCCAGCGUGGCAUAGUAGUUUGAGUGUUAGACUAUAAAUCUGGAGACCAGGGUUCAAUUCCCAGCUCUGCCA